ACGGAGGAUGCAAGCGUUAUCCGGAUUCAUUGGGUUUAAAGGGUGCGCAGGCGGAAUGAUAAGUCAGUGGUGAAAUCCUACGGCUCAACUGUAGAACUGCCAUUGAUACUGUCGUUCUUGAGUACACUUGGAGUGGGCGGAAUGUGUCAUGUAGCGGUGAAAUGCUGAGAUACGUGGCAGAACACCGAUGGCGAAGGCGUCUCACUAUAUUGUAUCUGACGGUCAGGAACGAAAGCGUGGGGAUCAAACAG
rnacentral:rRNA from 1 species